UACAGAGGGGGCAAGCGUUGUUCGGAAUUACUGGGCGUAAAGGGCGCGUAGGCGGCCUGUUAAGUCGAACGUGAAAUCCCCGGGCUCAACCCGGGAACUGCGUCCGAGACUGGCAGGCUCGAAUCCGGGAGAGGGAUGUGGAAUUCCAGGUGUAGCGGUGAAAUGCGCAGAUAUCAGGAAGAACACCCGUGGCGAAGGCGGCUCUCUGGGACGGUACUGACGCUGAGACGCGAAAGCGUGGGGAGCGAACAGG
rnacentral:rRNA from 1 species